rnacentral:rRNA from 2 species
AACGACUCUCGGCAACGGAUAUCUCGGCUCUCGCAUCGAUGAAGAACGUAGCGAAAUGCGAUACUUGGUGUGAAUUGCAGAAUCCCGUGAACCAUCGAGUCUUUGAACGCAAGUUGCGCCCGAAGCCAAUAGGCCGAGGGCACGUCUGGCUGGGUGUCACACAAAG